UACGGGGGGGGCAAGCGUUGUUCGGAAUUACUGGGCGUAAAGGCUCGUAGGUGGCCAACUAAGUCGGACGUGAAAUCCCUCGGCUUAACCGGGGAACUGCGUCUGAUACUGGAUGGCUUGAGUUCGGGAGAGGGAUGCGGAAUUCCAGGUGUAGCGGUGAAAUGCGUAGAUAUCUGGAGGAACACCGGUGGCGAAGGCGGCAUCCUGGACCGACACUGACGCUGAGGAGCGAAAAGCCAGGGGGAGCAAACGG
rnacentral:rRNA from 1 species